CGGGGUGCAGCAGGCGCGAAAACUUUACAAUGCCGGCAACAGCGAUAAGGGGACCUCGAGUGCCAGGAUACAAUCUUGGCUGUCGCGAUGCCUAAAAAGCAUUGCAUAGCAAGGGCCGGGCAAGACCGGUGCCAGCCGCCGCGGUAACACCGGCGGCUCGAGUGGUAACCGCUAUUAUUGGGUCUAAAGGGUCUGUAGCCGGCCGGAUAAGUCUUUUGGGAAAUCCAGCUGCUCAACAGUUGGGCUUUCAGAAGAUACUGUUCGGCUCGAGACCGGGAGAGGUGAGAGGUACUUCAGGGGUAGGGGUGAAAUCUUGUAAUCCUUGAAGGACCACCAGUGGCGAAGGCGUCUCACCAGAACGGACCUGACGGCAAGGGACGAAAGCUAGGGGCACGAACCGGAUUAGAUACCCGGGUAGUCCUAGCCGUAAACGAUACUCGCUAGGUGUCAGCCACGGUGCGACCGUGGUUGGUGCCGUAGGGAAGCCGUGAAGCGAGCCACCUGGGAAGUACGGCCGCAAGGCUGAAACUUAAAGGAAUUGGCGGGGGAGCAC
rnacentral:rRNA from 1 species